CUUCACUUGAUCUUGUGUAUGUUUGACGAUUGACUGCAAGGAUCAAGGGGUUGAGAAAUAGAAGAGAGUUUGAGUUAGAUAGAUAUGCUUCGAGGAAGCUGGACAAAUCUGUAAAAGGGUCUCAAUUCUUUCUAUUGAAAAAAGGCUGAAAUCCAGUUGGAUUUCAGGACUGGAUGUAGGCUGUCAUACUGACAGCUGAACCAGGAUAAAUCUUGGUGUCAUCUCUCUAUCCCUUAUCUCUUUACUUUUCAUAUUCAUCUUGUAUGCGAUCUAAUAUUUCCGCUGUGUACUUUGUGUAUGAAUCUUGCAUAGUUAACAUAGGAAUUAAAAUUGAACACGUUGGA
rnacentral:lncRNA from 1 species